rnacentral:miRNA from 1 species
GUAUGCAUUCUUGACUGUUAGCU